rnacentral:rRNA from 1 species
UACAGAGGGGGCAAGCGUUGUUCGGAAUUACUGGGCGUAAAGGGCGCGUAGGCGGCCAACUAAGUCAGACGUGAAAUCCCCUGGCUCAACCAGGGAACUGCGUCUGAUACUGGAUGGCUCGAGUUCGGGAGAGGGAAGUGGAAUUCCAGGUGUAGCGGUGAAAUGCGUAGAUAUCUGGAGGAACACCGGUGGCGAAGGCGGCUUCCUGGACCGACACUGACGCUGAGGCGCGAAAGCCAGGGGAGCAAACGGG